rnacentral:rRNA from 1 species
CCUACGGGUGGCUGCAGUGGGGAAUAUUGGACAAUGGGCGAAAGCCUGAUCCAGCCAUGCCGCGUGUGUGAAGAAGGCCUUCGGGUUGUAAAGCACUUUCAGUGGGGAAGAAAGCCUUGGGGCUAAUACCCUCGAGGAAGGACAUCACCCACAGAAGAAGCACCGGCUAACUCCGUGCCAGCAGCCGCGGUAAUACGGAGGGUGCGAGCGUUAAUCGGAAUUACUGGGCGGAAAGCGCGCGUAGGCGGUCUGAUAAGCCGGUUGUGAAAGCCCCGGGCUCAACCUGGGAACGGCAUCCGGAACUGUCAGGCUAGAGUGCAGGAGAGGAAGGUAGAAUUCCCGGUGUAGCGGUGAAAUGCGUAGAGAUCGGGAGGAAUACCAGUGGCGAAGGCGGCCUUCUGGACUGACACUGACGCUGAGGUGCGAAAGCGUGGGUAGCAAACAGGAUUAGAUACCCCGGUAGUC